AUUGAACGCUGGCGGCAUGCCUAACACAUGCAAGUCGAACGGCAACACGUUUAGGGCUUCCUCUUAGGGGUGACGGGUGGCGGACGAGUUAGGAAUACGUCCGAUCCUGCUUUUUCGUGGGGGAUAACGUUGGAUAACAUCCCCUACUACCUCAUACUGCCAACGGGGGAAAUCAGGAGCUCUUCGGGCCUUAGCCGAUUCUAUUAGACGAGGUCGGUUUAGCUAGUUGGUGGGGUAAAGGCCCAGCAAGGCAACGAUACGGAGCUGGUCUGAAAGGAUGAUCAGCCAAACUGGAACUGAGACACGGUCCAGACUCCUAAGGGAGGCAGCAGUGGGGAAUUUUGGGCAAUGGGCGGAAACCUGAACCAACCAGACCGCGUGGGAGAAGAAGGGCUUCCGGUUGGAAAACUGUUUUGGUAGGGAAGAAAAAGCGUAUAUUUAAAAAAGGGGGGUCUGACGGUACCCAAAAAAAAAGCCACGGCUAACUUCGGG
rnacentral:rRNA from 1 species